rnacentral:lncRNA from 1 species
GUCAACACGAGUGUCAGUCAGUGUAUAGUGUGUCAACAUGAGUGUCAGUCAGUCUGUAGUGUGUCAACAUGAGUGUCAGUCAGUCUAUAGUGUGUCAACAUGAGUGUCAGUCAGUCUAUAGUGUGUCAACACGAGUGUCAGUCAGUCUAUAGUGUGUCAACAUGAGUGUCAGUCAGUCUGUAGUGUGUCAACAUGAGUGUCAGUCAGUCUGUAGUGUGUCAACAUGAGUGUCAGUCAGUCUGUAGUGUGUCAACAUGAGUGUCAGUCAGUCUGUAGUGUGUCAACAUGAGUGUCAGUCUAUAGUGUGUCAACAUGAGUGUCAGUCUAUAGUGUGUCAACACAAGUGUCAGUCAGUCUAUAGUGUGUCAACAUGAGUGUCAGUCAGUCUAUAGUGUGUCAACACGAGUGUCAGUCAGUCUAUAGUGUGUCAACAUGAGUGUCAGUCUAUAGUGUGUCAACAUGAGUGUCAGUCAGUCUGUAGUGUGUCAACAUGAUUGUCAGUCAGUCUAUAGUGUGUCAACAUGAGUGUCAGUCAGUCUAUAGUGUGUCAACAUGAGUGUCAGUCAGUCUAUAGUGUGUCAACAUGAGUGUCAUCUAUAGUGUGUCAACAUGAGUGUCAGUCUAUAGUGUGUCAACAUGAGUGUCAGUCAGUCUGUAGUGUGUCAACAUGAGUGUCAGUCAGUCUGUAGUG